CAGCACUUCAUUUCAUAUAAAGUUUUUACAAAUUCAGUGUAGAAAGUCUGUCCACAGAAUGUCAGUCGCAAAACGUGAGAAAAAACACCAGAAUCGUGCGCAUACAAUUCGCCAUAGAAAAAUCGCACUGAUGCGCAGUCAUUUCAUGAAGUUCCGCAUGCGCUAUCCGGGAAAGCUAUCGAAACCUAAUGAUGCUAAUGAAGAAAGAGGAAAGCUGCCAGGAUUCCGUCAUCCCAAGCUUUUCCCCAACAAGUCCACCGUUUUUUUUUAAUUUUGUAAAAGCUUAAAUUUGCUUCAAAGUUGUGCAAUUAAUCGUAUCAUAUGUAUAUGAUAUUUCACUAUA